rnacentral:lncRNA from 1 species
UGGCGGGGAGAGACCGGUUCUCCAACGCUGGUUUUGCGGGACGAACUGAGAGACCGGUCCCAGGUGUCGGGGAGACCGAUCCCUCAGCGCGAGAGCAGCCCAGACCGGGCAGUGCACAGAGUGGUUUUUUGAGGGACCUAAGUGGAUUUUGUUGCUUCAAAGGGCCUUAAGGCCAUUUUCUCUCUCUCACUCUCUCAUUUCCUC